rnacentral:misc_RNA from 1 species
AAUUAAACGCGUGGUCAGCACAGCAGCAACCAUCGCGUGAAGCCAUCGGCACUCUCCUUUCCUCUCCUCCUCUGCCCUCAUCUCGCACAAAUCAUAACAAUAGAAAAUAAAGGGGAAAAAAAAAAAAAAACAAAUCGCAAGCAGAGAGAAAAGCAAAAUAAAAUCAAUUUCGCGAUGACUGAUCAACCCCGCCUCAGCAUCAACAAUCUACGGACGACAUCUCAACUCAUCAAACAGGCCUCCGCCUCCUUCUCCGCCAAUCUCUUCACC